UACAGGGGGUGCAAACGUUGCUCGGAAUCAUUGGGCGUAAAGCGCACGUAGGCGGUCUGUUAUGUCGGAUGUGAAAGCCCUUGGCUCAACUGAGGAAGUGCAUCCGAAACUGGCAGGCUAGAGUACUAAAGAGGAUCGCGGAAUUCCCGGUGUAGAGGUGAAAUUCGUAGAUAUCGGGAGGAACACCGGUGGCGAAGGCGGUUCUCUGGGACGGUACUGACGCUGAGACGCGAAAGCGUGGGGAGCGAACAGG
rnacentral:rRNA from 1 species